GCACUGCUGAGGAGUCCCAUACUAGGACGAAACGGCAGUCUAGUGC
rnacentral:hammerhead_ribozyme from 1 species